AGCAGCCGCCACGGUAAAACGUAGGCGGCAAGCGUUGUCCGGAAUUAUUGGGCGUAAAGGGAGCGCAGGUGGGACGGUAAGUCCGUCUUAAAAGGCAGGGGCUCAGCCCCUGUAAGGGAUGGAAACUAUCGAUCUUGAGUGCCGGAGAGGAAAGCGGAAUUCCCAGUGUAGCGGUGAAAUGCGUAGAUAUUGGGAAGAACACCAGUGGCGAAGGCGGCUUUCUGGACGGCAACUGACACUGAGGCUCGAAAGCCAGGGGAGCGAACGGGAUUAGAUACCCGAGUAGUCCCUGUCUCUUAUACA
rnacentral:rRNA from 1 species